GGGGAAUAUUGCACAAUGGGCGAAAGCCUGAUGCAGCAACGCCGCGUGAGUGAUGAAUGCCUUCGGAUUGUAAAGCUCUGUCUUUGGGGACGAUAAUGACGGUACCCAAGGAGGAAGCCACGGCUAACUACGUGCCAGCAGCCGCGGUAAUACGUAGGUAGCGAGCGUUGUCCGGAUUUACUGGGCGUAAAGGAUGCGUAGGCGGAUGUUUAAGUGAGAUGUGAAAUCCCCGAGCUUAACUUGGGAGCUGCAUUUCAAACUGGAUAUCUAGAGUGCAGGAGAGGAGAAUGGAAUUCCUAGUGUAGCGGUGAAAUGCGUAGAGAUUAGGAAGAACACCGGUGGCGAAGGCGGCUCUCUGGUCUGUAACUGACGCUGAGGCGCGAAAGCGUGGGGAGCAAAC
rnacentral:rRNA from 1 species